rnacentral:lncRNA from 1 species
CCCAAUACAUUAUUUUUUUUCUACUGUACAGCAUGGUGACCCAGUUACACAUACAUGGACACAUUCUUUUUUCUCACACUAUCAUGCUCCAUCAUAAGUGACUAGACAUAUCUCCCAGUGCUACAAAGCAGGAUCUCAUUGCUAAUCCAUUCCAAAGGCAAUAGUUUGCAUCUAUUAACCCCAAAUUCCCAGCCCAUCCCACUCCCUCCUCCUCCCCCUUGGCAACCACGAGUCUAUUCUCCAAGUCCAUACUUUUCUGUGGAAAAGAUUCCAGAUAUACGUGAUAUCAUAUGGUAUUUGUCUUUCUCUUUCUGACUUCACUCAGUAUGAGACUCUCUAGUUCUGUCCAUGUUGCUGCAAAUGACAUUGUUUUGUUCUUUUGUAUGGCUGAGUAGUAUUCCAUUGUGUAUAUAUACUACAUCUUCCUAAUCCAACUGUCUGUCAAUGGACAUUUGAGUUGUUUCCAUAUCUUGGCUAUUAUGAAUAGUGCUGCAAUGAACAUGAGGGUGCAUGUGUCUUUUUUAAGGAAAGUUUUGUCCAGAUAUAUGCCCAAGAGUGGGAUUGCUGGAUCAUAUUCUUUAGCUUCCUGGGGCUGCCACACCAAAGUACCCCCAGAUAGGGGACUUAGAACAAUAGAAAUGCAUUGCUUUAUAGACUGAGGCUAGAAGUCUGUGUCCAGUUGUUGGCAAAGUUGGUUCUUUCUGAGAGUUUUAAGAGAGAAUUUUUUGCACACCUCUUUCGUAGUUUCUGCCAGUUUGUUGGUAAUCUUGAGCGUUCCUUGGCUUGUGGGUACGUCACUCUGAUUUCUGCCAUAUCCACACGGCGUUCUCCUUGUGUAGAUGUCUGUGUCCAAAUUUCCCCUUUCCAUAAGGACAUGUGUCAUAUUGCAUUAGAGGCCACCAUACUUCACUAUGACUUCAUCUUAGCUAAUUACAACUGCAGCGAUGUCAUUUACAACUAUGGCCACAUUAUGAAGUACUGCAAGUCAGGAAUUCAACACAUGAAUUUUGAGGGGGUCACAGUUCAACCCAUAACAUCAUGCAACAUACUAUAUUUUUAUUUAUUGUGCUUAUAGUUCGUUUUCUCCCAGUUAAAUAUCAGCAGCCAGGAGGGCAAGCAUUGUCAGUCUUCCCAAACUAGCUAAGCAAUGAGUACACAACCAACAAGUGGAAUGUAAAUUCCCUGAAGAUGGAGGGAUCAGUCAGUUUUGGACUACUGAAUUACUUUAACCCAUAACAGAAUCUGGCACACAGUAGGCACUCAGUAAAUAUUUGUUGGAUGAACUGAUGACAAAUAGUCAUAUAGUCCGAUCUUGCCUUUAUUUAGUAGACUCUAUAAUAAGCAACUGAUGUAAUAAUCACUUAUGGAUUAAAAAGAGGGAUAUCUGCAUUUCUGAAAAUCUGGACGAGAGAAGGGUACCUUCCCUGGAAGAAAUAUUCUUUAUUCAUGACUGUUAAUUAUGAUGCGAAAUAACUAAUAUACCAGGAAAACUAGAAUUACCAUCUUAAGACCUUCUUUAUUUUCCAGAGAUGAGAUCUGAAGUUUUCUAUAUUUCUGUGAAUGAAUCAUUUUUUUAUUUGUACUAUGUUUAGGUUACACAACAUCAGUUAGACAAACGUUUUUGGUGGUAAUUACAAAAUAAUUUGUUUUGGUGGGGAGGGAAAAUUUAUAUGGCCAGAUAAAAAGUUUUGUUUGAUAACAUGCAAGACAGUAAUGAACUUUUUCAAAAAGGCAACUAUUAAAAUGUAUUAGAGGAUUUCCCGUCGUGCCUUGGCAGUUAAUGAACCUGACUAGCAUCCAUGAGGAUAUGGGUUGGAUCCCUGGCCUCGCCCAGUGGGUUGAGGAUCUGGUGUUGCCGUGAGCUGUGGUGUUAGGUCGAAGAUGCAACUCGAAUCUUGCGUUGCUGUGGCUCUGAGGUAGGCUGGUGGCUAUAGCUACGAUUGGACCCCCAGCCUAGGAACCUCCAUAUGCCGCGGGUGCGGCCCUAAAAGAGACAAAAAGAGCAACAACAACAAAAAAGUAUUAGAGAACAAAAUGCCAAUGGAAAAGCCCAAGUGUCAUUUCAUCAAAAUCAACAGGCUGACACUAGGUGGCGCUAUUCCAUCUUCACUUCAUAACUGUGCCAACAACCACCUUGGAAAUGACUAAUUAAAAAUGAUUUUUAGGAGUUCCCAUCGUGGCACAGUGGUUAAUGAAUCCGACUAGGAACCAUGAGGUUGCGGGUUCGAUCCCUGGCCUUGCUCAGUGGGUUAAGGAUCUGGUGUUGCCGUCAGCUGUGGGAAUGCACUUUCCCCUAGAAAGUAGGAAUCGGCUCCGAAUCAAUUGCAUUGAAAAGGAAGGGCAGCAGGCACCCAUCUGCAUUGGCAUUUGGGUAUUUUCCCCUUCAAUGCAUGUAUUUGCAAAAUACCACAUUAUGCCUUUGUGGUAUUUUGCAAAAUCCCUUUCUAAUUUGCAACUUUCCCACAGUAAUUGGUA